rnacentral:rRNA from 1 species
CCUACGGGAGGCAGCAGUGGGGAAUAUUGCGCAAUGGACGAAAGUCUGACGCAGCAACGCCGCGUGAGGGAUGACGGCCUUCGGGUUGUAAACCUCUUUUGUCAGGGAAGAUGAUGACGGUACCUGGCGAAUAAGCCACGGCUAACUACGUGCCAGCAGCCGCGGUAAU